AUUGAACGCUGGCGGCAGGCCUAACACAUGCAAGUCGAGCGGAUCGGCGGACGGGUGAGUAAUGCCUAGGAAUCUGCCUGGUCGUUGGGGAUAACGUCCGGAAACGGGCGCUAAUACCGCAUACUAUCAGAUGAGCCUAUGGCGGAUUAGCUAGUUGGUGGGGUAAAGGCCUACCAAGGCGCCGAUCCGGAACUGGUCUGAGAGGAUGAUCAGUCACACGGGAACUGAGACACGGUCCAGAAUCCGACGGGAGGCAGCAGUGGGGAAGAUUGGACAAUGGGCGAAAGCCUGAUCCAGCCAUGCCGCGUGUGUGAUGAAGGUCUUCGGAUUGUAAAGCACUUUAAGUUGGGAGGCGUUACCAACAGAAUAAGCACCGGCUAACUUCGUGCCAGCAGCCGCGGUAAUUC
rnacentral:rRNA from 1 species